rnacentral:lncRNA from 1 species
AUAAUAUGACUGAUGUUUUAUUUUAUCUGAUAACCUGCAAAUGAAUAAAAACAUAAUUUAAUAUUUUAUUUUAUUUUAUAUUAACUAUAUCUUAUUCACUUUCUUCUUUAUAAACAUACAGUUAGACUCUGCCCACCCAAUUUGUUGACCAUCCAAAUCGUAUAUGACAGUCUUGUCUUUAACUGCUACUUCUAAAUCACCAAAUAAUAUAUUAAAAGUCAAGAAAAGCGAAAAAAGAAAUCUAAUUUAUAGGGUUUUCAUGUUUCCAUUGUUAAAAUUUAUACAUCCUAAAAUAGUCAAUCCUCGCUUCGGGCUCGUCUGAAUACCCAUACAAUAUAUCUCAUACCCAUUCUAUUGUGUUUUAACAACCAAAUUAAGAUUCAUGUAAAUACAAG